rnacentral:rRNA from 1 species
UGGGGAAUUUUGGACAAUGGGCGAAAGCCUGAUCCAGCAAUGCCGCGUGUGUGAAGAAGGCCUUCGGGUUGUAAAGCACUUUUGUCCGGAAAGAAAUCCUUGGCUCUAAUACAGUCGGGGGAUGACGGUACCGGAAGAAUAAGCACCGGCUAACUACGUGCCAGCAGCCGCGGUAAUACGUAGGGUGCAAGCGUUAAUCGGAAUUACUGGGCGUAAAGCGUGCGCAGGCGGUUUGCUAAGACCGAUGUGAAAUCCCCGGGCUCAACCUGGGAACUGCAUUGGUGACUGGCAGGCUAGAGUAUGGCAGAGGGGGGUAGAAUUCCACGUGUAGCAGUGAAAUGCGUAGAGAUGUGGAGGAAUACCGAUGGCGAAGGCAGCCCCCUGGGCCAAUACUGACGCUCAUGCACGAAAGCGUGGGGAGCAAAACAGGAUUAGAUACCCUGGUAGUCCACGCCCUAAACGAUGUCAACUAGUUGUUGGGGAUUCAUUUCCUUAGUGACGUAGCUAACGCGUGAAGUUGACCGCCUGGGGAGUACGGUCGCAAGAUUAAAACUCAAAUGAAUUGACGGGGUCAUAGCUGUUUCC